AUCUAACCUAAAUUAAAUUCUUCGUAUCUAUCGUCUCUAGGUCUAGGACUCUCUUAGGAUUUUCAUCUUUAGAAUUUCUCUCUUUCUUCCUCUUCUCUUCUUCUUCUUCUCUCCCUCUUUCUUAAAAAAAAAAAAUCAGAGCAAUCCAAUUCUAUCAUAUGGCUGUACUCCUAAAAGAUACAAUAGAGGAAGCUAGCCCUAAAAGAAUUUCUCAGGACCAAUUGCAUACAUGUUGGGAUCCUUUUGGAGUGGAUGAGUUUGACUUAGAUAGGUAUGUUGAAAAUAUGCACACAUUAUUAGAGCCACCCAAUUUUAGUACCACUCCCCUAUGGACUGAGAAAUAUGAGCUUUUACCUGAAAUAUCUGCUCUAAUAGCUCCCUCUUUAGAAUCACCAUUGGUUCUAGAACUGAAGCCACCAUCGAUCAUACCUGAGUAUGUAUGCAUAGGACCAUAUGAUAUGCUCCCAGUAAUCAAUACAUCAGAUCCAACUCUUAAUCCAGAAACCCAAU
rnacentral:lncRNA from 1 species